CGGCAGCGAAGAGAAUGACUUAGUGGCGGACGGGUGAGUAACGCGUGGGUAACCUGCCUCAAGGCUGGGGGAUAACACGUUAGAAAUGACUGCUAAUACCGCAUAAGACCCCGGUACCGCAUGGUACAGAGGUAAAAAGAUUUAUCGGCCUGAGAUGGACCCGCGUCUGAUUAGCUAGUUGGUGAGGUAACGGCCCACCAAGGCUGCGAUCAGUAGCCGACCUGAGAGGGUGAUCGGCCACAUUGGGACUGAGACACGGCCCAAACUCCUACGGGAGGCAGCAGUGGGGAAUAUUGCACAAUGGGGGAAACCCUGAUGCCAGCGACGCCGCGUGAGUGAAGAAGUAUUUCGGUAUGUAAAGCUCUUUAAGCAGGGAAGAUAAUGACGGUACCUGCAGAAUAAGCACCGGCUAAAUACGUGCCAGCCGCUGC
rnacentral:rRNA from 1 species